CCUACGGGGGGCAGCAGUAGGGAAUCUUCCACAAUGGGCGCAAGCCUGAUGGAGCAACACCGCGUGAGUGAAGAAGGGUUUCGGCUCGUAAAGCUCUGUUGUUGGAGAAGAACGUGCGUGAGAGUAACUGUUCACGCAGUGACGGUAUCCAACCAGAAAGUCACGGCUAACUACGUGCCAGCAGCCGCGGUAAUACGUAGGUGGCAAGCGUUAUCCGGAUUUAUUGGGCGUAAAGCGAGCGCAGGCGGUUGCUUAGGUCUGAUGUGAAAGCCUUCGGCUUAACCGAAGAAGUGCAUCGGAAACCGGGCGACUUGAGUGCAGAAGAGGACAGUGGAACUCCAUGUGUAGCGGUGAAAUGCAUAGAUAUCACGCAGAACCCCGAUUGCGAAGGCAGCAUACCGGUGCACAACUGACGCUCAGGCACGAAAGCGUGGGUAUCCAACAGGAUUAGAUACCCUUGUAGUC
rnacentral:rRNA from 1 species